UCUCGGCACGGAACUACCGAUGAGCUGCUCAUAAAACACACACCUCAUAAAAUCAAAAAGUACAAUGGUAACUGCAAACUCUUGGAAGAAUGGAGUAAUCUGAUACUAGGUUGUUAUGCAGCAGACUUAUCCCAAGCUUUCAAAUAAAAGUACGUAAAUUCUUCGGUGAUGAUCAACAUCAUGGUAUGUUUUAAUGAUUUAUGAAUAUUGUUCCAAUUACUGAAAAACUCAAUUAAAUUUGAUCAUCUUUGUUUCACUGAAAUCAAUCAGAAGGCAGAAUGGCUAUAUAUUUCCAGGCGCAUUAGCUUUGAGGCUCAGUUGAGAGUUUUCAUUGCGCAAACGAAGACUUGGAGAACAUUAUCAGUUUUCAAAAGAUCAAAAAGAAUAAUUCGAAGAAUUUACACUCUUUCUAGGUUCCGCAUUCCAUCGUAAUUGAAAACAACCUUAUUAAAAUGAAGUGUACUAUUUCAUCAAUUGUUCGAAGAAUCUUCAUGAUCGUUUUAGUGUUUGCAAUAAGUGCUUCAUUCAUUCCAAUUGUCGUGGGAUUGAGAAGGUGGAAGGGAGUUCGCGGAUAAACAGCAAACAUUCUAAGGAAACGUAGACAAUUUCAAUAAUCAAGAAAUGUUUGAUGUAUGAAUCCAACUAUUCUCAAAUAAAUAUCGAAUAUUAUUGUAACAUGUAAACAGAUUGUAUUAAUAAAUAUUUGAAACAAGAGAA